GCUGAGGUCGGGCGGGCGGGCGGGGUAAGAGGGGGGGGGCGGGUGGUGGUCGGGAGCAUUGGGCGUAAAGGGCGCGUAGGCGGCCGAUCAAGUCGGAGGUGAAAUCCCUCGGCUCAACUGAGGAAUUGCCUUCGAUACUGUUCGGCUUGAGUCCUGGAGAGGGUAGCGGAAUUCCCGGUGUAGCGGUGAAAUGCGUAGAGACCGGGAAGAACACCAGUGGCGAAGGCGGCUACCUGGACAGGUACUGACGCUGAAGCGCGAAAGCUAGGGGAGCAAACAGGAUUAGAUACCCGUGUAGUC
rnacentral:rRNA from 1 species